UCAGCUCUUGACUCUUCUCUGUCUUCUUUCCUGCCCCUCCUGCUCCUCAGAAAUAAGCAUGUCCUGCCAAGCCUCUAUCCUCAUGACCAUCUUCUGUGUGCUUCCUCAAGAGAGUCUCGCCUUCCCCCAAACCCUUUAUGGUUAUGACUUCCAAGUGUGUGUCUCCUGCCCUCUUUCCUGGACUUUCUACUCAUAUUUCUAACCACACCUUAGGUAUUCUUUCAUCAACUAUUUUUUUUCACAUUGUUUUUCUUUUUAUUUAAACAAGGUUGAACUUACAAAUCAAAGCAAUAUGGGAGUGAUUUUAGACUAGCAAUAUUAUUUUUAGUUAUUCAGAUUUCAUCAACUAUUUAUGGACAGUCUACUGUGUGUUAAAGUUGGGCAUGGCCUCUGUCCUGUGGAGCUUCCACAUCAACCAAGGAGACUGUCCCUAAGCAACCAGUCAUGCCCUCAGUACUUAAUUACAAUUGUGACAAGGGCUAAAAAGGAGAAGAAAAGUCCAGCUGGGAGGUUGACCCAGUUCUUCUCCAUGGUCAGGAGAGGGUCCAGUUCAUGGUGAACUCUGUUGGACGAGUGGGCAGGCAGUGAGGGAAGAGAACAAGGGGGACUGAGCAGAUCCCUGUCAGGGCUUAUGGGCUAAAGUCUGAGUCAGGAAGGAGUGGGGGGGGUAGGAAGAGCUGAAAGAAGGGUGGUGUAUUACAGGGAAGUCCAUGGGGGGAAGGGUGUGAGAUGAGGCUGGAGACAGGGAAGGUCCCUGAAAGACAUGCUAA
rnacentral:lncRNA from 10 species